GAUGAACGCUGGCGGCGUGCCUAAUACAUGCAAGUCGAGCGAACAGAUGAGGAGCUUGCUCCUCUGACGUUAGCGGCGGACGGGUGAGUAACACGUGGAUAACCUACCUAUAAGACUGGGAUACUUCGGGAAACCGGAGCUAAUACCGGAUAAUAUAUUUAACCGCAUGGUUCAAUAGUGAAAGACGGUUUUGCUGUCACUUAUAGAUGGAUCCGCGCCGCAUUAGCUAGUUGGUAAGGUAACGGCUUACCAAGGCAACGAUGCGUAGCCGACCUGAGAGGGUGAUCGGCCACACUGGAACGUCACCACGCUCCAGACUCCUACGGGAGGCAGCAGUAGGGAAUCUUCCGCAAUGGGAGAAAGCUUGACGGAGCAACGCCGCGUGAGUGAUGAAGGUCUUCGGAUCGUAAAACUCUGUUAUUAGGGAAGAACAAAUGUGUAAGUAACUAUGCACGUCUUGACGGUACCUAAUCAGAAAGCCCCGGCUAACUACGUG
rnacentral:rRNA from 1 species